rnacentral:rRNA from 1 species
CCCAACUAUCCCUAUUAAUCAUUACGUCAAUCCUAGAAACCAACAAAAUAAGAUCGAACGUCCUAUUUCAUUAUUCCAUGGUAAUGUAUUCAAGCGUUAGCCUGCUUUAAACACUUUAAUUUUUUCAAAGUAACAGUCCAGUUUCCCCGCAACACCAAAUUAAUGGCAUUACGGUUCAUCAGGAAGGAGGAGCCAGUAAGACCAGUACAUACCAGGGGCACGACCAAUCUACUGACCCCGAAAUUCAACUA